GUAAGGUCCCAUCAAGAAUUGUUCCCUCCCCAUGGGGGCCCGGUGCGCAAUGGCUGCAAACAGCAGCCUCCUCGGUAGUGUAUGCAGCCUGUUGCCUGUAUGGGUUGCCCUAAGGGACCUUGGAGACAGCC